rnacentral:rRNA from 1 species
AAGACCUUGCACUUUUGGAGCGGCCGAUGUCUGAUUAGCUAGUUGGUGGGGUAAAGGCCUACCAAGGCGACGAUCAGUAGUUGGUCUGAGAGGACGACCAGCCACACUGGGACUGAGACACGGCCCAGACUCCUACGGGAGGCAGCAGUGGGGAAUUUUGGACAAUGGGCGCAAGCCUGAUCCAGCAAUGCCGCGUGAGUGAAGAAGGCCUUCGGGUUGUAAAGCUCUUUCAGUCGAGAAGAAAAAGCUGCAGUGAAUAACUGUAGUUCAUGACGGUAUCGACAGAAGAAGCACCGGCUAACUACGUGCCAGCAGCCGCGGUAAUACGUAGGGUGCGAGCGUUAAUCGGAAUUACUGGGCGUAAAGGGUGCGCAGGCGGCUUUGUAAGUCAGAUGUGAAAUCCCCGGGCUUAACCUGGGAAUU